GUUUUUAUUAAAACGUGCUCAUUAUAGAUUUUUCUUCUGAAGACUUUACAGCAUUAUCUGGUCUCCUGGGUCCUUCUCAUUUCUCACUCUGGACUUCAAAGCUGCAGGAAUUCUUUGGAUCUGCAAAAGUGGGCAAGAUUUGAGUGGGUUGUUCGGCUGUUGUAGCUAUUCCACUGUCUCCUGCUUAAUCCCUUCUAACUGACUAAGUUUAUCUUUGUUAACUUCAGACUUCUGGAGCAAGGGGUCACCUCCAUCACACUGGAGUUGAUUCUCAGGGAGCUGGUGACAAACUGCCCUGUGGCUGCUGGGGCUGGUGACAGUGCAGCCCUGCACGAUGCUUCUGUGCCCACAUGAGCACAGUUUGAAGUUCCUCAGCAGGCAACCCUUGAGCUGUGGCAGCCAGGAGGGUGUUUUAAGGCAGCCGUCCCCAAACUAUUUGCCACCAGGGACCGGUUGCAUAGAAGACAAUUUUUCCAAAGACCAGGGUAGG
rnacentral:lncRNA from 10 species